rnacentral:ncRNA from 1 species
GACUCUUCUAGCUCUUCGACGCUGACUCCCAGCCGAACGCCCUGAUUUUCUUCCCCGAUAUCAGGUCGCAUCGGAUGGGGAUCAGCAUCAAAGAACUAGCCCUUAUCACC